GAUGAACGCUAGCGGGAGGCCUAACACAUGCAAGCCGAGCGGUAUGGGUAGCUUGCUACCCAGAGAGCGGCGUACGGGUGCGUAACACGUGUGCAACCUGCCCCUAUCCGGGGGAUAGCCCUCCGAAAGGAGGAUUAAUACCCCAUAAUAUAUCUGGUGGCAUCACUAGAUAUUGAAAACCCCGGUGGCUAGGGAUGGGCACGCGCAAGAUUAGAUAGUUGGCGGGGUAACGGCCCACCAAGUCGAUGAUCUUUAGGGGUCCUGAGAGGGAGAUCCCCCACACUGGUACUGAGACACGGACCAGACUCCUACGGGAGGCAGCAGUGAGGAAUAUUGGACAAUGGGUGGAAGCCUGAUCCAGCCAUCCCGCGUGAGGGACGACGGCCCUAUGGGUUGUAAACCUCUUUUGUACGGGGAUAAACCUAUCUACGUGUAGAUAGCUGAAGGUACCGUACGAAUAAGCACCGGCUAACUCCGUG
rnacentral:rRNA from 1 species